rnacentral:rRNA from 1 species
UUGACCUCAAAUCAGGUAGGACUACCCGCUGAACUUAAGCAUAUCAAUAAGCGGAGGAAAAGAAACUAACAAGGAUUCCCCUAGUAACUGCGAGUGAAGAGGGAAAAGCUCAAAUUUUGAAUCUGGCAGUCUUAAUUGAUUGUCCGAAUUGUAAUCUAGAGAAGCGUCUUCCGCGCUGGACCGUGUACAA